rnacentral:rRNA from 1 species
UGUCGUCAGCUCGUGUUGUGAAAUGUUGGGUUAAGUCCCGCAACGAGCGCAACCCUUAUCCUUUGUUGCCAGCGGUCCGGCCGGGAACUCAAAGGAGACUGCCAGUGAUAAACUGGAGGAAGGUGGGGAUGACGUCAAGUCAUCAUGGCCCUUACGACCAGGGCUACACACGUGCUACAAUGGCGCAUACAAAGAGAAGCGACCUCGCGAGAGCAAGCGGACCUCAUAAAGUGCGUCGUAGUCCGGAUUGGAGUCUGCAACUCGACUCCAUGAAGUCGGAAUCGCUAGUAAUCGUGGAUCAGAAUGCCACGGUGAAUACGUUCCCGGGCCUUGUACACACCGCCCGUCACACCAUGGGAGUGAGUUGCAAAAGAAGUAGGUAGCUUAACCUUCGGGAGGGCGCUUACCACUUUGUGAUUCAUGACUGGGGUGAAGUCGUAACAAGGUAACCGUAGGGGAACCUGCGGUUGGAUCACCUCCUUACCUUAAAGAA